CCAUUCAAGCUGCAGUAUACUUCACCAAAAAGCCAAACUCUACACUCCUUGUCUCCGUUGGACACACUCCAUAAGAGUAGCCUUCGAGCAGGAUGAACCUUCCGGGACACAAUGCUACAUAUCUUCUUCAUGAUGCCCUGCUGAAUUAAGGCCCCGUCUUUUCAAGGAUGGGUCGGCCACGCUGUUGAUUGUGAAUACUACAGUACAGGACACAGGGGUUUACGGCUGCACGCUCCACAAGCUCAGUGCCAUCGAUGAGACUUCCAAAGUUUCUUUGAUAAUCACAGUUCGUCCCACAUUGACUCACGCACCUCCCCCUGCAAUCAACAUAACAGAGGGAGAGACUCUAAAGGUCAACUGCACAGCUACCGGGCCCCCCUCCCCCUUAGUACGGAUAAUAUCCAUCUCUGGGGGGAAGGGGAGCGUAGUCGCUCAGAGAAUUGGAAGUGUUCUAUGGACUGUUGCCAACGUGCGCAGAGAGCAGGGUGGACGAUAUCAAUGUGACGCAUCAAACAAUCCGAGCGAAACACCUGUAACUACCUCACUUAAUAUCACAGUCUGGUAUAAGCCUGCAGUGACCAAAAUUUCUGCCUUCACGUCCGUCAGCACAGCAGAUACAUUAGUGUUGUCAUGCGCAGCAGAUGGCCACCCCGCUCCCACGUACUCAUGGACCAGGUCACGUGACCCUAUCAGAUCUAACAUCUCCACUGACCGUGACGUGCUGAUGAUACCGAACGUGACACGCGACGACGCGGGAACGUACGUGUGCACGGCUAAGAACGCAUUUGGCAAUGCCUCGGCCACUGUGAAUGCAGCAGUCGAGUAUGCCACUGCUAUCAUCAACGCCUCUCGGGAUCAGAAUGCCAUCGAAGGUGACCCCCUCACACCCAUAUGCGAUGUCGAUGGGUACCCUGUGCCAAGCGUCGUUUGGAGUAAGACCCCUGACAGCGUGCAAUUACCUGCGACGAGCCCGCAAUACAGGGUGUCGGCGGUGCGCAGCGCUGUCGCAAGAAUUUACACGUGUUUUGCAUCUAAUGAAAUGGGCAACGCCUCGGCUUCGAUGAAGGUGGUGGUGUACUAUGUCUCAGUGAUCGAUAUGAACUUCACAUCGCUCUACACGGCGUCCUGGUACGGGCACAUCGUGACCCUGCGCUGCAGAGCACGUAGCAAGCCCACCCCGCACAUCACGUGGUACGGCACGACUGGUAAUCAAACACUUUGCCGCGUCAUGGGGACGGAGGGCGAGUCGACGCUGACCUUCACCAGUAGAGACGAAUGGGAGUAUGGCGCGUACAAGUGUCGCGCCAUAAACCAUGUGGGACACGUUGAAACGAACAUUACCGUCACAAAGUUUACCCGCCUACGGUGUUCUGGUCGAAGAAUUUUGUGAAAAUAAAUCAGGGUUCUCAGCUAGGAACUGCGUCGUUCUAUUUGAGGAAUACAAGUCGUUUGGAUACUGCCCCUUAUGAGUGCGUUGCCAGAAAUGAGUACGGUGAAAGAACCUGGACUGUCAACACUUCCGUGAUUGUACGGGUGAGAUACGAACCGGUGAUAACAAAUAUCACUUCCGCUCAGACAGUAGACGCGGGACGUCCCGUUACCCUCGAGUGCAUAGUCCACAGCUAUCCCAAGGUUAAUGUGUCGUGGUCCAAGCAAGGCAGUACCACCCCUCCCCUCCCAAGGGCAGUAUAAUACAUUGCAUCUGCCAGCAAGUCAGACAGUGGGUAAUACACAUGCUUAGCCUCCAAUGGUGUUGGGAAAAUGGUCUACAAGUUUGCUACAGUUUUGGUAAACUGUAAGUAUUUCAAACGAAAUAUUUGUCAAUAUCAACAUAUCAAUCUCCCAAUUUCUAGCUACGCCCAGAACUCAAAUCUCUUUUUCGGGUUUGCGCAUCGACAAAUUCCUGUACGUCUUCAACAGCAGCAUUGAUUUGUCCUUAAUUCUAG